rnacentral:rRNA from 1 species
GGGGGGGGGGGGGGGGGGGCGGGGCGGGGGCAGGGCGGACGGGAAGGGCCGGCUUUGGGGGGGUGCUCGGGUGGCGAACGGGUGAGUAACACGUGAGUAACCUGCCCUUUACUGUGGGAUAACUUCAGUAAACUGGGGCUAAUACCGGAUAUGAGCUCCUGCUGCAUGUUGGGGGUUGGAAAGGUUCGGCGGUUGGGGAUGGACUCGCGGCUUAUCAGCUUGUUGGUGGGGUAGUGGCUUACCAAGGCUUUGACGGGUAGACGGCCUGAGAGGGUGACCGGCCACAUUGGGACUGAGAUACGGCCCAGACUCCUAAGGGAGGCAGAAGUGGGGAAUAUUGCACAAUGGGCGGAAGCCUGAUGCAGCAACGCCGCGUGCGGGAUGACGGCCUUCGGGUUGUAAACCGCUUUCGCCUGUGACGAAGCGUGAGUGACGGUAAUGGGUAAAGAAGCACCGGCUAACUACGUG